rnacentral:rRNA from 1 species
UACGUAGGGGGCUAGCGUUGUCCGGAUUUAUUGGGCGUAAAGAGCGUGUAGGCGGCCAGGUAGGUCUGCUGUGAAAACCCGAGGCUCAACCUCGAGACGUCGGCGGAAACCAUCUGGCUAGAGUCCGGAAGAGGAGACUGGAAUUCAUGGUGUAGCAGUGAAAUGCGUAGAGAUCAUGAGGAAGACCAGUGGCGAAGGCGGGUCUCUGGACAGUUCCUGACACUGAGACACGAAGGCCAGGGGAGCAAACGGG